GAUGAACGCUGGCGGCGUGCCUAAUACAUGCAAGUCGAGCGAACAGACGAGGAGCUUGCUCCUCUGACGUUAGCGGCGGACGGGUGAGUAACACGUGGAUAACCUACCUAUAAGACUGGGAUAACUUCGGGAAACCGGAGCUAAUACCGGAUAAUAUAUUGAACCGCAUGGUUCAAUAGUGAAAGCCGGUUUUGCUGUCACUUAUAGAUGGAUCCGCGCCGCAUUAGCUAGUUGGUAAGGUAACGGCUUACCAAGGCAACGAUGCGUAGCCGACCUGAGAGGGUGAUCGGCCACACUGGAACUGAGACACGGUCCAGACUCCUACGGGAGGCAGCAGUAGGGAAUCUUGCGCAAUGGGCGAAAGCUUGACGGAGCAACGCCGCGUGAGUGAUGAAGGUCUUCGGAUCGUAAAACUCUGUUAUUAGGGAAGAACAAAUGUGUAAGUAACUAUGCACGUCUUGACGGUACCUAAUCAGAAAGCCACGGCUAACUACGUG
rnacentral:rRNA from 1 species